GACGAACGCUGGCGGCGUGCUUAACACAUGCAAGUCGAACGGAAAGGCCCUGCUUUUGUGGGGUGCUCGAGUGGCGAACGGGUGAGUAACACGUGAGUAACCUGCCCUUGACUUUGGGAUAACUUCAGGAAACUGGGGCUAAUACCGGAUAGGAGCUCCUGCUGCAUGGUGGGGGUUGGAAAGUUUCGGCGGUUGGGGAUGGACUCGCGGCUUAUCAGCUUGUUGGUGGGGUAGUGGCUUACCAAGGCUUUGACGGGUAGCCGGCCUGAGAGGGUGACCGGCCACAUUGGGACUGAGAUACGGCCGAGACUCCUACGGGAGGCAGCAGUGGGGAAUAUUGCACAAUGGGCGGAAGCCUGAUGCAGCAACGCCGCGUGCGGGAUGACGGCCUUCGGGUUGUAAACCGCUUUCGCCUGUGACGAAGCGUGAGUGACGGUAAUGGGUAAAGAAGCACCGGCUAACUACG
rnacentral:rRNA from 1 species